rnacentral:lncRNA from 1 species
UAAUAACUUUUUCAUGCUUUUGCAGUACCCAAUCUAAAGUUGAAACUAUUUAUUAUUUGUAGAUGUUUCUAAACAUUUACUAAUCAUUUAGUACAUAUUAAGACACUUAUCCCCAAUCAUCUCAAUGGCCAAAAGUGUCCUAAAUGACCUGAAUUCACAAUCUUUCCUAAUCAUUUAUUAAUCAUUUGUUCAUGUUUUUACAGUACCCAAGCUAAAGUAUAAACUAUUCAUUAUAUUUUAAAUGUUUAUAAAGGUUUACUAUUAAGCAUUUAGUACUUUUAUGGACACUGGACUUUUUGUUAUUGAAAUAAUGUCUGUGUAAAAGAUAGUUAAGAUAAGCCGAAAGUUUGCGAAAGACAUAACAACAACAAAUCAUUUGAAUUUGGGUGCAAAACAUGUUUUUAAUUGCCUCAACACACAGUAUACUAUAUCCUUAAAUAGACAAUGUUCCUUGAUUAAUACACUAACAGCAGAGAACAAAUACAUUUUUAAGAAAAUACAUAUUCAUUUAUGAAAUCAGUGUUACAUAAACAGUUUGAACCAUGUCCCUUUAUAUAUAAUAUAAUAUUAUAUUAUAUUAUAUAAUAUUAUAUUAUAUAGCACUGUCAUGGUGAGCAGUGACAUUAUAGUUUGAUCUCGUUAUACAAAAAUAUUUGAGCUAUCAAUCACGAUUAACCAUUAACAAAGAAAUGUAAAUGCUGUGUCAUAUAAAGAGAAUAUGAAAUGUCACUUUUUAUUGCAUAAAUAGAACCACAAUAUUGCCAAACAUUGAAGCAAACAGGUUUGACACACUCUUGACUUCCCUAUUCUGAUUUGUUUUUUUCUACUUCAGACUAAGAUGAAUGCAGUCUGGGCUGUCGAUAGUGUAAUGGAGUUGAGACUCAUCCUGCUGGGGUUGAUGACAGUGGAGCCAAUGGUGGAACCAAGGGUAACAUCAAUCAUAGAAGUGACUUUUGCACUGUGAAGGAGUAGGAUCUGUUACUGGAGAUCACCUGGAACUGAUUGUUGCAG